rnacentral:misc_RNA from 1 species
GAUGAAGAACGUAGCGAAAUGCGAUACGUAAUGUGAAUUGCAGAAUUCAGUGAAUCAUCGAGUCUUUGAACGCACAUUGCGCCCCCUGGUAUUCCGGGGGGCAUGCCUGUCCGAGCGUCAUUGCUGCCCUCAAGCACGGCUUGUGUGUUGGGCCCCGUCCUCCGAUUCCGGGGGACGGGCCCGAAAGGCAGCGGCGGCACCGCGUCCGGUCCUCGAGCGUAUGGGGCUUUGUCACCCGCUCUGUAGGCCCGGCCGGCGCUUGCCGAUCAACCCAAAUUUUUAUCCAGGUUGACCUCGGAUCAGGUAGGGAUACCCGCUGAACUUAAGCAUAUCAAUAAGCGGAGGA